ensembl:snRNA U6 U6 spliceosomal RNA
GUGCUCGCUUCAGUAGCACAUGUACUAAAAUUAGAACAAUACAGAGAAGAUUACCAUGGCCCUUGUGCAAGGAUGACAUGCAAAUUCGUGAAACACUCUAUAUUUUU